rnacentral:lncRNA from 1 species
UUGGGUAAAUAUGGUUCUCUAUUGUCGACUGCAUCACCACAGUUCUGGAGUACUUCUUCCAUGGUCGACCCAGAUAAGUUUUGAUGGAACCCACAACAGGCUUAAGAUCUGAGCUGGGUGUUAGGUUACAUUGUUGAAUUGAAGUUCCUGUGUUUUGGUUUGGAUCUUCUCUUCCUUGAGCCGUCACCAUGUUUUUUUGGUUACUCAUGGGCUUUCGGGCAACCAAGUUGCACUUUUGGAAGACGACGGCGGCGUUUCCAAAAAUGAAGUCAACGGUGCCGGUGAUGAAAGAGUCUCUGUAGAACUGCCUGUUGGAGUGUGCGUAGAGUGUGUCUUGGAAGGCAUCUAUGCGACAACGGUUUAUGACGGAUUUGUCGGCGCCUACGCGCAGAGCCACUGCUUGUUGCUUCUGUGGGCCUGCAGUGUUCUGGAACCAUAUGUCUUGACCUAUAAAUCCAUCCCCCACAGCAGCUGCAAACCCAUAUUACUACUUAGUUUCAGUUUUUCAAAAUUUAUCAUUACUCUCACAACUCACAACCAAUUCUACAUAGGACAAUAAUAGUUUAAUGCAAAAAAUAAUAAAGUUUGGUAAAACAUUGCAGUAGUAAGCAGAAGAAUGAGAAAAAAGAGAGAAAGAAAUGGAAGAGAUCCAUACCCACAGUUGCAGUCUGAAAUGUGCCCGUUCCGUCAACAUAAUUCAAGCUGCCGGUAAUUACAGUUAGAUCCUUACCAUCUCCAACGAGCAUCACGUUCUUCUUUGUCUGACAAAUUUCAACAUUCUCUUUAUAUGUUCCUUUUUUCACGUAAAUAACAUACCUUGUCUUACUGUUUACAGGUGCAGAUUUCACAGCCUCAGCCACAGUCUUAAACUUGUCGCUUCCAUCCUUGGCCACCACAACGUUGGCGUUGAUGUCCCCAACACUGGACUCCAAAAGCCUCCUAUCCUUGCUUCUCAACCACGAGGGAAACUCCCCAUUCAGUGGCUCAUCAACGAUUGGUUCAACCCUCGGGGGCAAAACAGUAACAAACAUAGCCAGAGUUGUUCUUGCUCUGGAUAUCAAGUCCUCGAGUUCAGCCUCCAUAAGUGCUCGAGCUGUCCCCUCUAACCCAUCCAAACAAGUUGCAUGGUUAGUGAGCACGCUACUUAGCCAUGUGUGUGCAUCUUGCUGUGACUCAGUGGUUUGGUUUGUUAGAGUUAGCAUUGAGUCCAAAACUCUGUCGAUGGAUAAAUCCAUCAGCUCCACGCAGUCGUUCAAAGCUGCUUCCUCCUUGGGACUGUUAACCCUAAGUUUGAUGGAACUAGCUGUGUUCAUGGCUCUCUGAAUGUGUGAGGUGGAUUUCAAUAAGAAAGAGUGGAACAAAUUGAAGCUGUGGUCUUUUGUUGUGGUGAAGAUGGGACCUUGAACCACUUCUGAGAGAUGUGCUAAGCAUGAUGGGUUAUCAAGUGCAUGAUGACAGAGAUGUUGAGGAGAGGAUUGGUUAAGGAAGGAACUGGGUUUGAUGAAAUAAGAAGCAGCAAAGAGUGAUGAGCAUAUGACAGCAGCUACAGAGAAGAUUAAACAGAUAGUUUUGGUAGCAGAAUUUCUUGGCCUCUCUAGCAGAGAUUCUUGGAUAGCCAUACUUGUAAGUGUUACUAGUGCCUUGUUUUGGCCAUGCAUCGUUGCCCUUAUAUAUAGGCCAAAACAACACUUCUUUAGAUAACAUAUACGUGCUUCUAAAUUGAUUAUGUAAUUUUUAUAAGAGCUUAAAAUGAUAGUUUUACAACUUCAGCACACAAGAUUCUAAAAUAAAUAUAUAUAAUAAAUAGUAAAUUUGUAAUUAAUUGAUAUAAAAAAAUAUUAAACUAAUAGUAUUAGGAGUUGUAUUACCUUCUUUCAAAUAUAAACAUUUUAAAACUUAAAAUAAUAAUAUUUUAUUUAUAAAUUUUUAUUUUAACUUAAAACUUUAAUAGCUAUUAUUAUAAUGGUUAAAACUCUUAAGUCCGUUAAAGAUAUAUGUAGAUAAGAGAUUAAAGCAUUUCAAAGGAUUUCAAAAUAUAUAAGGGAGUCUAAAUCUUACUUCAUAACUCAGUUUUAUGAAAUUGAGUUAUGUUUCAAAUUUAUUUCUUAAUAUGGUAUAUUUAUUAAUCUGAUUAUAUUUUGACAUUCUAUACAUUUUUAUAUUUAUUGUUUUAUUUUCUUUAUAUAUAUAUAUAUUUAAUAAUUAUAUUAAUUUUAAAAAUGAGUUAUUAAAUGAUGGGUGAAAUGUCAAAAUAUUAUUUUUAUUAUUAAAGUGUAAAGAUAUUAAUUACAAAUAAGAUAAUAAUCUUAUCACACUUUGUUAGAGUCAACAUUGAUUACUACUCCUGUGUAUAGACAUAUAUUUUGACAUGUAACUUCAAUAAUUCGCGAUUUUAUUCCCCUUUGUAUUUUGUGGAUGUUACUCGUGACAUGUGGUUAUGAAGUUCGAACACUUCUCUUAAAUGGUGUCUAAUUCAAAAAAUAUUUGUUAGAUUUCUGACAAUUCUAGUAGGGUCUAACACAAUUUUAAAAAGGAAAAAUACAUUAAUUUUCUAAAAAUUCAAAUUUUAUUGUAUAAAUUGUCAUUAUGAUUAUAAAAAUAAGAAUCAAAUUCUUGUGAACCAGUCAUGAAAAACAUCUUUCUGCUCUAAAAAAAAAAUCUGAAACAUAUUUGUGUACAUAAAUCUUUAUUGUCAAUUUAUAUAAUUAUAUAAUAUAUAGAACCGUGUCUCCGUGUCCUACAUUUUAGAGUUUACGUAUCUCCGUGUCCGUGUCCGUAUCGUAUAAGUGUUUGUGUUACACUACAAGAAAAACAACAUUUAGCUGCAAAGAAAAGUGACGGCCCACUUGUGGACACUAAAUAGUGUCAGCUUAACCUUCACAAUUAAAGAAAAAAAUAAUAAUAAUAAAAUUGAAGGUUUGGCUGACGCUAUGCCUACUUAAAUUUGAAGGCUUAACCUACACUAUCUCUACACUAUCUUAUUUUAAAUUUUUGAAGGUUUAGCCCCGCUAUAACUUUAAAAUUAAAUUUAAAUUGAAAGUCAAAAUACCCAACCAUGGUUUCAUUUUUGGGGGCUUAAACUCAUUCAAAAGCUUAAGCAUUUGAGCAACUUAGUAGUGGAGCAUUUGAGCAACUUAGUAGUGGAGCAUUUGAGCAACUUAGUAGUGGAGCAUUUGGAACGUGAUUGAGCAGUGGAGCAUUUGAGCAUUUGGUAUGUGAUUGAACGUGACCGUGAACGUGACCGUGAACGUGAUUGAGCAGUGGAUCGUGAGCAUUUGAGCGAGUGCGAUUGAGCGAUGGAGUGAGAACGACGGAGCGAGAGCAAUGGAGCGAGAGUGAUUGAGCGAGCGAGAGCUAUUGAGCGAUUGUACUCACAGUGAGUUUCCCUUCUCCUUUCUUAAUCUUUCGCAGUAACCCUAACUUCUCAAUUUCAGAUUGUGUUUGCUGAUAAUAUCCGAUGAUUGUUGCUAGAAGUCUCGGGGCAACGCUUGUGAUACCUGACAUCAGAGGAAACCAACCUGGUGAUAGAAUUUUAUUUUGUGUUUGAUGUUGCAUCCUGUGUUUGAUGUUGCAUCUUGUGUUUGAAGUUGAAUAAGAUUAGGCUAGGUUUCACAAAUGUCCAUAGCUUCCAACCCAUAUCCACUAGGAUACUAAGGAGCCACUUGCUUCUCAUUCUCAUAACCCUGCUCUCCACUGUAUCCUUCACCAAACCCAUUUCCAACACCAAACUCAACAUAGAAAUCAUCUUCAUGGUCACUUUCCUCGGUCACUUCCAAAAAAUAAAAGAACCUUGGCUUCUCCAAAAGCGUAUUCUUCAUGAUGGAAAAUAAAAUAGAAGAAAGAGUAGAAAAAAAAAAGGAACAGAAAGUACAACUGCAUUGUUCUGUAGUUUUCAUUUUGUGAGCCUUUUAUCUGCUCUUUAGUGCUCAAGAACCUAAGGUAUUUUGUAAUAGUGACAACACUAGAGUUUUCUUUUUCAAAUUUCUAAUAGCAUCUAACUUGUUGUUUUGGGUAUUUUUUACCAUUAAUUUCAAAGUUAUUGUUAUUAAUAUUGUUAUUAAUUUCAAAGUUAUUGUUAUUAACUUGUUGAUUACAAUACAAACAUCAAUGGUUUACUAACUAAGCUACAGUGCAGAAGCAGUGUGGAAUCACAUCACAGUGUUAGCAAAAAAACCAGUAUGUCCACUUCAAUAAUGGUUAUCCUUGAUGAAUUGGGAAAGUUGUUUGAACUUUGAAACAAAUAUUGUGUAUAUACCUACUAAUAUGCCCUCUGAAGUUCUAUUAUGCACCCUAAGACAGGUAUUAGGAGAUUUGUUAUGUCUAAUAGCUGCUUAGUUUUUCAUUUCCAUGCUGUUUUUUCAAGGUGACAAAACCUGUUGGAGUCGUGGAAGCUGAUUUAAAAUCAAAGACCGAGCAAAGCAUAAAGAAUGUNNNNNNNNNNNNNNNNNNNNNNNNNNNNNNNNNNNNNNNNNNNNNNNNNNNNNNNNNNNNNNNNNNNNNNNNNNNNNNNNNNNNNNNNNNNNNNNNNNNNCUAUUUCUUUUGACAACGAAUAAUAUAUAUAUUUGUUUUUUCUUUUAAAUUUUCUACAGGAAGAGUACUAGAUAAGACAUGACAGUUAUGUUGGGACAAGUCUGGUUAUAUUGUUGAUUUUGUUGUUAUUGCUGAUCUGUGAUUAGUAUUUAACUGCUUGGAAGAAGUUUUUCUUUGAUAAUUUAUAUUUGUUUAUGCUGUGAACUAUAUUUACAGGACAUCCGUGGAAAUGAUGUGAGUCUGAAUGAUUUCACUGGGAAGGUUAUACUGAUUGUGAAUGUUGUCUCACAAUGGUAACAUACUGUGUGUGUUCAGAAAGCUUAGGACUUGUGAUGUUACCUCCAUUGCAUAUAUGCCACAUCUUUAGGACUUCCAACAUAAACUUUUUGCUUAAUCAUCAUUCAAAUUAACAAAGUGAAGUGAAUUUUCCAACAACUCCCAAUCUUUGCUCACUUUCCUUUCGAUAAGAAAAGUUUGGUGUGCAGAAAGCUUCCUUGUCNNNNNNNNNNNNNNNNNNNNNNNNNNNNNNNNNNNNNNNNNNNNNNNNNNNNNNNNNNNNNNNNNNNNNNNNNNNNNNNNNNNNNNNNNNNNNNNNNNNNCUUCCAACUUCUUCUAUUUAAGUAUGUGAUCACAGACUCAAUCUUUAGUUCUUGAAGUCAAGAAUAUCAGAAUCCACACAAAAAGAAAGUUCAAAAACAAAAAGCACUUUAUUUUAUUUAUUCUUAUUCUAAAAAGUGACAAACGUAUUAAGAAAUGUCUAGAAAAAUACUAGUUACAGAAUAUUUAAUAUAUUUUCUCAUGAUCAUAAGCGCAUUCAAUAUAUUUUAAUAAAUUUUAAUUAUUUGAAGGUUAUUUGUUAAUGAAUAUUUUAAACACAUUACUAAAUAAGAAAUAUUUAAUAUAUUAAAUACUUUUAAUUGUUUUAAUAAUUUGUGUUAAACGUUAUUUCAUGCAGAGAUAUCUACAAGAGGACAAGUAGUGUUGUUGGGAAUGAUCCUUCACUUGCGGAGUCUCCAAAUGAGGACAAGUAGUGUUUUGAUGGUAUAUAAACUAACCAAUGGCUAAUUCUUUCACUUUUUAUUUAUGCAAAACCAUGAGUAUAUAUAGUGGGUUUUAUUUUUGCAUUGAUAAAUACACAUUAUAUACUUUGGGAUACACAUUGCUGGAAAGGUCAUGUUUGAGAUACAAAUUGUUAUUGUGUUACUNNNNNNNNNNNNNNNNNNNNNNNNNNNNNNNNNNNNNNNNNNNNNNNNNNNNNNNNNNNNNNNNNNNNNNNNNNNNNNNNNNNNNNNNNNNNNNNNNNNNNNNNNNNNNNNNNNNNNNNNNNNNNNNNNNNNNNNNNNNNUCAAAUUAUACCUUCACUAAUGUUUAUAGGAUGUCAACUCAUUUUUAGUUUUUUUCUACUUGAAUAGUUCGUUUCACUUUAUUGGUAGUUUUUGAAAUGUUAACUUCUAAUUUUUAAAAUGGUUUAAUAAAAAAUAAAUAAAAGGAAUUACUGAUAAUUUUUUAUAAAGAAAAUAGUAAGCAACUAGUUUUACAUUAAAAAAAAUAUAAUAACACUUAUAUAUUAUUUAAACAAUAAUUAAUUUUUCCUAAGAGAAAAUAUUAUUUUUUAUAAAAAACAAAAUAAAAGUUAGCGUGAUUAAAGUUGUCAGAUGAAAAAGAAUUUUAUAUUUUAAAAUAUUACUCUAAAGUCCAAAAACCUGUGUAGGCUAAGUUGUUUCAAAAUUGUGUGGUUGCUACGUAUACUUCAAAAUUGUGUGGGUUAAGUGUAGGCUAAGCCCCGCUUUUAUAAUUUUUGUGUGACCAUGCGAAGGCUUGUGUGUAGGCUAAGCCCGCUUUUAUAAUUUUUGUGUAACCAAUGUGAAGGUUUGUGUGUAGGCUAAGCCCCGCUUAGAAUAUAAAUAUAUUUUUUACGUGACCAAUGCUAAGGCUAAGCUCACAGUUGGAUAAAAAUUGUGUGGCCCAUGAGUAGGCUUAGCCCACGCUUUUUUUAAUAAAUAAUAUAAAAUGUGGGCAAAAUGUAGGCUAGGCCUAUGCAAAAAUGUGUCCAACCCAACCCCUACUAUUUUACGUCGAACAUAUUAGCUGCCACAUUUAAGUUGAUGAUAAGCCUACGCUAAUUACACUUUUCGUUCGUUUACUGCACCUAUUGUCCGUUUUUUGGCCUAUGCUAAAAAGGAUAUUUCUUGUAGUGUUAGUGUUUGUGCUACAUAACAAUAACAAUAAGGUAAUAUUUAUAAUCCAAAAUUUUUAUACCAGACAUUACCAUUCUCAAUAUUAUUAUUUUAAUAUUUUUUUAUAUUAUUUAAUUAUAAUUUCACUUUUUAUUAUAUAUAUUUAUAUUUAAAUAAAUCAUAUUAAAAAUUUGUAUAUAAUUUUCAUGAUUUGUCAAAUAUCAUUUCUCCUUCAAUAAUUCACCAUUUUCUUCCCCUUUGUAGGUUGUGGAUCCGACAGUAUAAUUUUUAUGUACCAUUACUUGAAACCGUGUGUGGCAUGUGAUUUUAUUUAAAAAUAUAAUAUAUUUAUUAUAUAAAUUUGAUUUCUCAAAAUUUAAAAUAAUAACAAAUAGUAUAGUAUGUAUAAUAUAUAUAAAAGUUUAUUAUUAUAUAACUUAUUUUUCACAUUUUUACAACACCAAUUCAAUUGUGUGGAGAUGAUCUUUCUUCAUUUUUUCACUAAACUAAUUAAUAUCCAGAUUUUUUUUUCAUUUCAUUAUGUACAAUUACUGGCCAUCAAAAUUCUAGCAAUUUAAACUAAAAAUAUAAUUAAAUUUUAAGUCAACUUUAGUUUUGUAUGUAUUAUGUCUUUUCGUUUAGUUCAAUUGAGCCUUAAACUAAAUAUCUUUGUUUAAGACACCUUAAAAAUAUAUUAAUCAAUUAAAAUAAUAAUAUAAAACACAUAAACAGCUAAAAGAAAAUAAUAAAGACAAGUAGUGUAAGGGGAACCAGACUAGUAUUUUAGCUGAAAAUAAAUUAAUAAUUAAACUUAAAAAUAUCAUAUAAGUAUUAAAUUUGAGCAAUGGGAUUCAUAUAAUAUAUUAAAAUGAAAAGUCACUUUUAUUAACUAAUGAUGAUUUUAUUUUUAAUUAUGCCGUUUUCAAAAACAAUUUUAUUCUUUUGGAAAUAAUAUAUUUUAAAUUUAUUAACAUAGCCAGUUUGAACUAAAAUAUAUUUAAACAAAUUUCUCUAAGUAAGUCUGUUUGGGAAAAAUAAAAAAAUGAAAUGAAUUUUAAAUUUUUGUGUAGAUAAACUAAAAAUAAGAAUUUAGAUAAGUUAUAUAAAAGAGCUGUUAUAUAUUAAUUUUUAGUUAUAUAUUAUUUAUAUAUACCUAUAAAAGAGUUUAUCCAAAUAUAUUAUAAAUAUUCCAUCAUAAUUAUGCUAGUGCAUUCGUUGUGUCCUUAGAAAUAAAAUAAAAUAAAUUGUUUAUAUUAUCACUAGAAGAAAAUUAUGAAAUAGAAAUCAAUUUUUAGAUAAUUAGUUACAAUAGGAACUAAAAUAGAGACCAUUUUAGAAACUAAAAAAAUUGGUUUCUAAAUUAGUUUCUAUUAUUUUCUAUUAUUGUUAAAUAGUUUCUAAAUUGGUAUUUAAUUAGUAACUAAAGUUUUAACUACCAAUAAUUUAGUUUCUAAAUUUGGUAGCAAAAACGUUGGUUGCUAAUUAGAUACCAAUUUAGAAACUAUUUAACAAUAAUAUAAAAUAAUAGAAACUAAUUUAGAAAUCAAAUUUUUUUUGUUACUAAUUUAGAAAUCAAAUUGGUUUCUACCAAGGUUUCUAUUUUAUGAUUUUCUUAUAGUGUAUUUAUUUUAAAAAUAAAUCAUUAUUUGUGUUAUUAAUUUCUUAUUUAUUAUUAGUAUUAAUGGUUUAUUGUUAUGUUAUUAUUAUAAAAAAUAGCAACAUAUUCCUGUUAAGGUUUUCACCAAUUCAACACAUUGUCCGUUGUUCAAAAUAAAUGAAAUAAUGUAUUGAAACCACUUAAAAUGUACGAAAUUAUAUAUAUCAGAAUUAUUGAUCAUAAUAUAUAAACAAGUCAAGUGAUAUAACAUAAUACAAUUUUAAAUAUUAAUAAUGUAUAAAAAUUAUUGAUCAUAGUAUUCUUAUAAACAAGUCUAUGAAGUAAUUGUAUACUUAAAACAUUAUUUUCCGAUUUAUCAAUCUGAUUAUAUUUUGACAUUCAAUACAUUUAUUUAUUUAUUUAUCAUUUUUAUUUUCUUUAUUUUUCUUUUUUAUUAAUAUAAAAAUUUAUUUUUUAAUAACUAUAUUAUUUUUAAAAAUAAUUUAUCAAAUGAUGGGUGGAAUGUCAAAUAUAAUUUUUAUUAUUAGAAUGUAAAGAUAUUAAUCCCAAAAAAUAUAAGAAAAACUAUGUUCUACAAUGUGAUGAUUUUAGUAAAAAAUAUAUACAGUAAAAAUUAAAUUUAUAAUUAAAUAAUAUAAUAUUUUUUUAUUAAAAUGACAUUAUUAUUAAUUGUUAAGAGAUUUAGGGAAAAGUUUCAACAUAAAAAAAUCUUCAUAAUUAAUUAAAUAUUAAUUUAAAAAAUAUUUAUAAAUAAUAAAUAUUAAUUUAAAUAUAUAUAUAUAUAUAUAUAUUUAUUUUUUAUAAAUAAUAUUUAAUAUAAUUAAUGUAAUAACUAAUUAUUUUUAAUCAACCGACACUCCUACUCUAUAUUCCUGUCAUUUUAUUAAUUCACCCGUCCCUUUUAGUACUUUGUGAAUCUUACUACUCCAAUAGACAUAUAGCUUCAAUAAUCUAAUAUUUUCUUAUUCUUUGUACUUUGUGGACCCCACAAAUAUUCCUGACAAAUGAUAUCUCUUAUUACAAAUGUUGUUUAAUAAAAUAUUAUACCAAUAAUUUUUUUUUAAAAAUAAUAUAUAAUUUAAUUAAUAUAGUAAUUAAUUAUCUUUUAUUUUUAUAAUUUUUUUAAAUAUUUUUUUUAGUAUACAACAUUAGUUUUCUUUUUUAAAUGAGAAAUAACUUUUUAUAUUAAACGGAAAUAGAUAAGAAAAUAAAUUAUUUUAAGUUGAGAAUAUUAUCUUUGUUUAAAUAAAAAUAAGAUAAAAGAGGUAGGUACGAAAUUGUGUACGAUUGAUGUAUUAGGUAGGAUGAUUGUGUACAAAUAAACAUUUAAUUGGGUACCUUGCAAAAUUAAUUGAGGAACAAAAACUUCAAGACUAUUGUACAUAUAGGAAAUUAGAAUUCAUUUAUUAAUAAUUAUAAAUUGAAUAUUUUAUUUUAUUUUACAUAAGUAUUUUUAAGUUAAAAAAUAUUUUUUUAUUAUUGUUAGAUGUUAAGACUUUCUUAGAAAGACAUUUCAAUUGUGAUUUGCCUCUUUUGGUGAACACUAGUUACUUUUACUGAAGUGUAACUUUUAUUGAUUUGUCUUUAUUAAUUUUAUAAUAUGAUUAAAUUUAAAUUUAUUUUGUUUCGAGAAGUGAGAUUAUUUUGAACAUUAAUAAAAGGAUUUCAUGCCAUGAAUACGGAAUUAAAGUUUUAAAAAUAAAACUUAAGAAAUCAUCAUAUUUUUAAAAAUAACAUACAUUUUUUUAUGAAAAUAUAUAAUCAAUUUUGAAUGGUUUUUAUUAAAAUAGGAAUAUUUUGUCCAAUUAUAUAUAUAUUUUUUACAAUUGAAGUUCUAAUUAAACUCACGAUUUAAAAAUUUAAUAUAUAAUUUCAUAUUUUUCAUAUUUUUAUUUGAAAUUGUGAGUUGGGAUAGAAUUUAGUUGUGAGUCCAAAUUCACAUUAAAUUCAAUACCAUCAUUACAAGUGUUAUCAUAUAUGAGUGCAUUAAUUUAACAGUCUUUCAUUUUGUAAUAUUGAGAUUACUAUACGAGGUAAAUAUAUGUUGAUUACUAUACGGGAUAAAACAGUAAUAGUGAAAAGUAAAAACUGUUCUAGUCUCUAUAUUUUUUAUUUUUUUAUUAAUAUUUUUCAUGUGAUAAUAAAUUAAUCAAAAAAUGUAUUAAAUAAAAAGUAAAAAGUGUGCGUGUUCAUGUGUUAGUGGUGAAGACUGAAAAGUGAAAAGUGUUGAAUGUUUUGUAUUGAUUAGUAGAAGAGGUAAAUGGUUUUUAAUUUAAUUCAUUUUUAAGAGUGAAAAUUGAAAAGUGUAAAUGAAAUACACAGACACAUGGUACCAGUUUGAGGUCGAGGAUGUCUUUGACUUCUGUGCAGAAGACAAAUUGUCUCUAACAACCACUGUUUUUCAGUUUCUUUUUAUCAGAAAAAUUUAAAUAAAAAUAAAAAACAAGAAAUUGUGAACGAAUUCCAAAUUUUUUGUAAAUAAAUUAUAUAAAAUUUUGCAAAUACAUUAAUUAAUUUUUAAAAAUUCAAAUUUAUAUUAUAUGAAUUUUUAUUACGAUUAUAAAAAUAAGUAAUAAAUAUUUUGAAGUAGUUAUGAAAAAUAUUUUUUUUAAAAAUAUUAAAACAUAUUUAUACAUGUAAAUUUUUAUUAUUAAUUUAUAUAAUUUAUAAUUUAUAAUUAUAUAAUAUAUGUAUUUUUGUGUUUUUUGUAUUUUAUAUUUUAAAUAUUUUUCGUAUUUUUGUACUGUAUCAAUGUCAUGCUACAUAUAUCAUAACAGAAAUUAAUACUGUCAUAAAUUUGAGACGACUUCAAUUAAAAGGUAAAAUUAUUUAAAAUUAAAUAAACAUAAAAUCAUGCUAAAAAGUAUAAUUUUUAUAUUUCAAAGUCAUACUUUCAAUUACAACUUAUCUAUUUUCAUAAAAAAUAAUAAUUUUAAUAAAAAUCAUUCAAAAUUAUACUAUUUCCACAAAAAUAGAUAAUAUACACAUUUAUGUCAUAAUUCUGUGUCUACUAGUGUGUUUAGUUCAAAACUUACAUAUUUUCAAAAGUUUUUGGUACUUUCAAUAAAAAAAACUCUUGAAAUGAUUAUAUUAAUUUAUUAUGGAGACAAAUGCAAAUGCAGUUCCACUUUCCGCCUUACAAUUAUUAUUAUUCUUAGAGAAAAGUAUGACAAUGAAGUGUGGCAAUUAUUAUUUUUCAAAGAAAAGCAUAAGUCAAGUAUAUGUAUUUCGUUUUCCAUUAUUUGCACGAGUCAUAAUUAGAAUUGCACCUAGUUUAUCCACUUAUUCAUUGCACCUCACCUUUGUCUUUACUUUUUUUUUAUUAUUAUUAUUAUUUAAAUAUAAAGAAUUAGAAGCUAAUAAAGUAGGAUGUAGUGUUAUACACUUCAACCAAUCUCAUUUUACUUAUAAACUCUUUAGAGUUACAUUACACAUUAUUAUUAUUUUUAUAGAAUUUUAAAUUACUUAAAAAGUUAUAGAGAAUAAUCACAACACUUUUUUUAGAUUUUUUCUUUUUAUAACAUAUUUUUUUAAAUAAUAUAUUUUAAUAAAUCUUUUUAUCACACUCUUCAUUUUACAAUUUCUAAUAAUGAAAAAUUAUGUUCCAAACACUCUUCGAACUACAUAGGUAUGUUAUAUCCUAAAAUUUUGUGAAAAAUCAAAGUUAUCUUUUAGCAAAAUUUGUGAAAUUUCGCGCUACUUCUGCAAUUUUAUUUUGGGUCCAUAUUGCAUUGAAAAAAAUCGAAAAAAUUCACACUAGUACUUUCAUAUGUUGUUUGCACCUUGCUAAGGAGACACAUCCAUAAACAAAUCACAAAAAGGGAGAUAUAGGGAAGAAAAGCCAGGACAUUUCAUUUUCGAAAAACCGGUUUUGUUCACUCUCGGUUUGGGUCUUACUAUGCCCAAUUACUUGGGUCUAUUGGUUUGAAAAUUUUACAAGACAUUCGUCAUUGUGUGUAUUGAGUUUCGACUGAGAUUUGAGCCCCAGAUUCGUCCCACAUGAUUUUUUAUUCAUCACUACCAUGGUUGAAAGGAAAGUUCGUUUGUGUAUGAAAUUGUUUGAUUUUUUUCCUAGGAGAAUACUAAUCCGUUUGACGUGAAAUUUGUCACGUUUUGUCCCAAAUUCAGUCCAUAUUCUUACGUGCAAUUUCAGGAAAAAAAUAUUUCAGGACAAUUUUUCUGAAAUUUGUGAAAAUCCAAAUUUGUGAAAUUUUGUCAUACUUUCUGCAAUUUUAUUUUGGGUCCAUAAUUGCAUUGAAAAAUUUCAAAAAAUUUCACACAAGUACUUUCCUAUGUUGUUCGCACCCUGCUAAGGACGCCCGUCCAUAAACAAAUCACAAAAUGGGAGAUAUAGGGUAGAAAAGCCAGGACAUUUUUUUUUCUGGGUCUUACUAUGCCCUAUUCCUUGGGCCUUUUGGUCUAAAUAUUUUACCAGACAUUCGUCAUUGUGUGUAUUGAGUUUUGGCUGAGAUUUGAGCCCCAAAUUAGUCCCACAAGAUUUUCAAUAAAUUUUUUAUUCAUCACUGUCAUGGUUGAAAGGAAGGUUCGUUUGUGUGUGAAACUGUUUGAUUUUUUUUCCUAGGUGAAUAUUAAUCUGUUUGACGUGAAAUUUGUCGCAUUUUGUUCCAAAUUAAGUCUAGAUUCUUAUGUGGAAUUUCAAAAUAAAAUUAUUUCGGAACAAUUUUUCUGAAAUUUUGUGAAAAACCAAGGCUAUCCUCUAGCAAAAUUUGUAAAAUUUCGCCCUACAAUCUGCAAUUUUAUUCAGGAUCCAUAUUGCAUUGAAAAAUUCAGAAAAAAUUAACACUAGUACUUUCAUAUGUUGUUUGCACCUUGCUAAGGAGACACAUCCAUAAACAAAUCACAAAAAGGGAGAUAUAGGGAAGAAAAGUCAGGACAUUUCAUUUUCGGAAAACCGGUUUUGUUCACUCUCGGUUUGGGUCUUACUACGCCCAAUUCCUUGGGUCUUUUGGUCUGAAAAUUUUACCAGACAUUCGUCAUUGUGUGUAUUGAGUUUUCGUUGAGAUUUGAACCCCACAUACAUCCCACAAGAUUUUCAAUAAUUUUUUUAUUCAUCGCUGCCAGGGUUGAAAGGAAGGUUCGUUUGUGUGGGAAACUGUUUGAUUUUUUUUCCUAGGUGAAUAUUAAUCUGUUUGACGUGAAAUUUGUCGCAUUUUGUUCCAAAUUAAGUCUAGAUUCUUAUGUGGAAUUUCAAAAUAAAAUUAUUUCGGAACAAUUUUUCUGAAAUUUUGUGAAAAACCAAGGCUAUCCUCUAGCAAAAUUUGUAAAAUUUCGCCCUACAAUCUGCAAUUUUAUUCAGGAUCCAUAUUGCAUUGAAAAAUUCAGAAAAAAUUAACACUAGUACUUUCAUAUGUUGUUUGCACCUUGCUAAGGAGACACAUCCAUAAACAAAUCACAAAAAGGGAGAUAUAGGGAAGAAAAGUCAGGACAUUUCAUUUUCGGAAAACCGGUUUUGUUCACUCUCGGUUUGGGUCUUACUACGCCCAAUUCCUUGGGUCUUUUGGUCUGAAAAUUUUACAAGACAUUCGUCAUUGUGUGUAUUGAGUUUCGACUGAGAUUUGAGCCCCAGAUUCGUCCCACGUGAUUUUUUAUUCAUCACUACCAUGGUUGAAGGAAAGUUCGUUUGUGUAUGAAAUUGUUUGAUUUUUUUCCUAGGAGAAUACUAAUUCGUUUGACGUGAAAUUUGUCACUUUUUGUCCCAAAUUCAGUCCAUAUUCUUACGUGCAAUUUCAGGAAAAAAUUAUUUCAGGACAAUUUUUCUGAAAUUUGUGAAAAUCCAAGGCUCCUCUAGCAAAAUUUGUGAAAUUUUGCCAUACUUUAUGCAAUUUUAUUUUGGGUCCAUAAUUGCAUUGAAAAAUUCUGAAAAAUUUCACACAAGUACUUUCCUAUGUUGUUCGCACCCUGCUAAGGACGUCCGUCCAUAAACAAAUCACAAAAUGGGAGAUAUAGGGUAGAAAAGUCUGGACAUUUUUUUUCGAUAUCCGGUUUUAUUCACUCUCGGUCUGGGUCUUACUAUGCCCUAUUCCUUGAGUCUUUUGGUAUGAAAAUUUUACAAGACAUUCGUCAUUGUGUUUAUUGAGUUUUGGCUGAGAUUUGAGCUCUAGAUUCGUCCCACAAGAUUUUCAAUAAAUUUUUUAUUCAUUACUGUCAGGGUUGAAAGGAAGGUUCGUUUGUGUGUGAAAUUGUUUGAAUUUUUUCGUAGGUGAAUACUCAUCCAUUUGAUGUGAAAUUUGUCGCGUUUUGUCCCAAAUUUGAUCCAGAUUCUUAAGUGGAAUUUCAGGGAAAAGUUAUUUUGCGACAAUUUUUCUGAAAUAUUCUGAAAAACCAAGGCUAUCCUCUAGAAAAAUUUGUGAAAUUUCGUCCUACUUUCUACAACUUUAUUUUGGGUCCUUAUUGCGUCGAAAAGUUCUGAAAAAAUUCACACUAGUACUUUCAUAUGUUGUUUGCAUCCUGUUAAGGAGGCACGUCCAUAGACAAAUCACAAAAAGGGAGAUAUAGGGAAGAAAAGCCAGAACAUUUCAUUUUUGGAAAACCGAUUUUGUUCACUCUCGGUCUGGGUGAUACUAUGCCAUAUUCCUUGGUUCUUUUGGUCUGAAAAUUUUACCAGCCAUUCGUCAUUGUGUGUAUUGAGUUUUGGCUAAGAUUUGAGUCCCAGAUUUGUCCCACAAAAUUUUCAAUAAAUUUUUUAUUCACCACUGCCACGGUUGAAAGGAAGGUUCGUUUGUGUGUGAAACUAUUUGAUUUUUUUCCUAGGUGAAUACUCAUCUGUUUGACAUGAAAUUUUUCGCGUUUUGUCCCAAAUCCAGUCCAGAUUCUUAUGUGGAAUUUCAGGAAAAAAUUUCUUUCAGGACAAUUUUUCUGAAAUUUGUGAAAAUCCAAGGCUAUCAUCCUCUAGCAAAAUUUGUGAAAUUUAGUCCUACUUUCUUCAAUUUUAUUAUGAGUCCUUAUUGCGUUGAUAAAUUCCGAAAAAAUUCACACAAGUAGUUUCAUAUGUUGUUUGCAUCCUGCUAAGGACACCUGUCCAUAAACAAAUCACAAAAUGGAAGAUAUAGGGUAAAAAGCCAGGACAUUUUGUUUUCAGAAAAUCGGUUUUGUCCACUCUCGAUCUGGGUCUUACUACGCCCUAUUCCUUGGGUCUUUUGGUAUGGAAAUAUUACCACACAUUCGUCAUCGUGUUUAUUGAGUUUUGGCUGAGAUUUGAGCCCCAGAUUCGUCCCACAAUAUUUUCAAAUAAAUUUUUUAUUCAUCACUGCCACGGUUGAAAUGAAGGUUUGUUUGUGUGUUAAACUGUUUGAUUUUUUUCGUAGGUGAAUACUCAUUCGUUUGACGUGAAAUGUGUCGAGUUUUGCCCCAAAUUCAGUAUAGAUUCUUACAUAGAAUUUUAGGAAAAAAAUAUUUUGGGACAAUUUUUCUAAAAUUUUGAGAAAAACCAAGGCUAUCCUCUAGCAGAAUUUCAGAUGCUUUGCCAUAGUUUCUGCAAUUAUAUUAUGGGUCCAUAUUGCGUUGAAAAAUUCCGAAAAAAUUCACACUAGUACUUUCAUAUGUUGUUUGCACCUUGCUAAGGAGGUACGUCCAUAAACAAAUCACAAAAAGAGAGAUAUAGGGAAGAAAAGCCAAGACAUUUUGUUUUCAGAAAACCGUUUUUGUUCACUCUUGGUUUGGGUCUUACUACGCCCUAUUCCUUGGAACUUUAUGUCUGAAAAUUUAAUCAGACAUUCGUCAUUGUGUUUAUUGAGUUUUGGCUGAGAUUUGAGCCCUAGAUUCAUCCCACGAGAUUUUAAAUAAAUUUUUUAUUCAUCACUGCCAAAGUUGAAAGGAAGGCUCGUUUGUGUGUGAAACUGUUUGAUUUUUAUCCAAGGUGAAUACUCAUCUGUUUGUCGUGAAAUUUGUCGCGUUUUGUUCCAAAUUCAGUCUAGAUUCUUACAUGGAAUUUCAGGAAAAAAUUAUUUCGGGGAAAUUUUUCUGAAAUUUUGUGAAAAAACCAAGGCUUUCCUCUAGCAAAAGUUUUGAAAUUUCGCCAUACAUUCUGCAAUUUUAUUCUGGGUCCUUAUUGCGUUGAAAAAUUCUGAAAAAUCUUGGACCUUUUGGUCUGAAAAUUUUCCCAAACAUUCGUCAUUAUGUUUAUUGAGUUUUGGCUUAGAUUUGAGCCCCAUAUUCGUCCUACAAGAUUUUCAAUUAAUUUUCUAUUCAUCACUGCCAGGGUUGAAAGGUUCGUUAGUGUGUGAAACUGUUUGAUUUUUUCCUAGGUCAAUACUCAUCCGUUUGACAUGAAAUUUGUCGCGUUUUGUUUCAAAUUCAGUCCAGAUUCUUACGUGGAAUAUCAGGAAAAAUUUAUUUCGGGACAAUUUUUCUGAAAUUUUGUGAAAAACCAAGGGUAUCUGCAAAAUUUGUGAAAUUUCGUCUUACUUUCUGCAAAUUUAUUCUAGGUCCUUAUUGCGUCAAAAAAUUCCGAAAAAAUUCACACUAGUACUUUCUUAUGUUGUUUCCUCCCUGCUAAGGAGGCACGUCUAUAAGCAAAUCAAAAAAAGAGAGAUAUAGGGAAUAAAAGCUAGGACAUCUGUUUUCGAAAAACAAAUUUUCUUCACUCUCGGUCUGGGUCUUACUUCGCCCUAUUGCUUGAGUCUUUUGGUCUGAAAAUUUUACCAGACAUUCGUGAUUGUGUGUAUUGAGUUUUGGCUGAGAUUUGAGCAUCAGAUUCAUUCCACAAGAUUUUCAAUAAUUUUUUAUUUAUUACUGCCAGGUUUGAGAAGAAGGUUCGUUUGUGUGUCAAACUGUUUGAUUUUUUUCCUAGGUGAAUACUCAUCCGUUUGACGUGAAAUUUGUUGCGUUUUGUCCCAAAUUCAAUCCAGAUUCUUACAUAAAAUUUCAAAAAAAAAUUAUUUCGGGACAAUUUUUUUGAAAUUUUGUGAAAAACCAAGGCUUAGGAAAAUUUGUGAAAUUUCGCCUUACACUCUAAUAUUUUAUUCAAUGUCCUUAUUGCGUUGAAAAAUUCCAAAAAAAUUCACACUAGUACUUUCAUAUGUUGUUUGCACCUUGCUAAGGAGGCACGUCAAUAAACAAAUCACAAAAAAGGAGAUACAGUGAAGAAAAGCCAUGACAUUUUGUUUUCGAAAAACCGAUUUUCUUCACUCUCUGUCUGGGUCUUACUACGCCCUAUUGCUUAGGUCUUUUAGUUUGAAAAUUUUACCAGACAUUCGUCAUUGUGUGUAUUGAGUUUUGGCUGAGAUUUAAGCCUAGGAUUUUCCCCACAAGGUUUUAAAUAAAUUUUUAAUUCAUCACUACCACAGUUGAAAGGAAGGUUCCUUUGUGUGUGAAACUAUUUGAUUUUUUUCUUAGGUGAAUACUCUUCCGUUUGACGAGAAAUUUGUUGCGUUUUAUCCCAAAUUUAGUCCAGAUUCUUACGUGGAAUUUUAGGAAAAAAUUAUUUCGGGACAAUUUUUCUGAAAACCAAGGUUAUCCUAUAGCAAAAUUUGUGAAAUUUCGCUCUACUUUCCACAAUUUUAUUUUGGGUCCUUAUUGCGUUGAAAAAUUUCACACUAGUACUUUCAUAUAUUGUUCGCACCCUGCUAAGGACGCCCGUCCAUAAACAAAUCACAAAAUGGGAAAUAUAGGGAAGAAAAGCCAGGACUUUUUUUUCUCAGAAAACUUGUUUUGUUCACUCUCGGUCUGGGUCUUACUACGCCCUAUUUCUUGGGUCUUUAGGUCUGAAAUUUUAUCAGACAUUCGUCAUUGUGUUUAUUGAGUUUUGGCUGAGAUUUGAGCCCCCGAUUCGUCCCACAAAAUUUUCAAUAAAUCUUUUAUUCAUCAUCGCCAAAGUUGAAAGGAAGGCUCGUUUGUGUGUGAAAUUGUUUGAUUUUUUUCCUAGGUGAAUACUCAUCCGUUUGACGUGAAAUUUGUCGUGUUGUGUUCCAAAUUCAGUCUAGAUUCUUACGUGGAAUUUCAGGAAAAAAUUAUUUCGGGAAAUUUUUCUGAAAUUUUAUGAAAAACCAAUGCUAUCCUCUAGCAAAAUUUGUGAAAUUUCGGACUACAUUAUGCAAUUUUAUUUUGGGUCCUUAUUGCGUUGAAAAAUUCUGAAAAAAUUCACACAAGUACUUUCAUAUGUUGUUUGCACCCUGCUAAGGACGCCCGCCCAUAAACAAAUCACAAAAUGGGAGAUAUAGGGAAGAAAUUUUGUUUUCGGAAAAUUGAUUUUGUUCACUCUCGGUUUGGGUCUUACUACGCCGUAUUCCUUGGGUUUUUUGGUCUAAAUAUUUUACCAGACAUUUUUCAUUGUGUGUAUUGAGUUUUGGCUGAGAUUUGAGCCCCAGAUUCGUCGCACAAUAUUUUAAAUAAAUUUUUUAUUCAUCACUACCAUGGUUGAAAUGAAGAUUCGUUUGUGUGAAACUGUUUGAUUUUUUUCCUGGGUGAAUACUCAUCCGUUUGACGUCAAAUUUGUCGUGUUUUGUCCUAAAUUCAGUCCAUAUUCUUACAUGGAAUUUCAGGAAAAAAUUAUUUCGGGACAAUUUUUCUGAAAUUUGUGAACAUCCAAGGUUAUCCUUUAGCAAAAUUUGUGAAAUUUCGCCAUACUUUCUGCAAUUUUAUUAUGAGUCCUUAUUGCGUGGUUAAAUUCUGAAAAAAUUCACACAAGUACUUUUAUAUGUUGUUUGCACCCCGCUAAGGACGUCCGUCCAUAAACAAAUCACAAAAUAGGAGAUAUAGGAUAGAAAAGCCAAGACAUUUUGUUUUCAGAAAACCAAUUUUGUUAAAUCUCGGUUUGGGUCUUACUACGCUCUAUUCGGUCCCAGACAUUCUUUAUUGUGUUUAUUGAGUUUUGGCUGAGAUUUGAGCCUCAGAUUCUUCCUACAAGAUUUUCAAUAAAUUUUUUAUUCAUCACUGCCAUGUUUGAAAGGAAGAUUCGGUUGUGUGUGAAACUGUUUGAUUUUUUUCCUAAGUGAAUACUCAUCCGUUUGAUGUGAAAUUUAUCGCGUUUUGUCCCAAAUUUAAUCCAGAUUCUUACGUGGAAUUUCAGGAAAAAAUCAUUUUGUGACAAUUUUUCUGAAAUUUUGUGAAAAACCAAGACUAUCCUCUACCAAAAUUUAUGAAAUUUCGCCCUACUUUCUGCAAUUUUAUUCUGGGUCCUUAUUGCGUUGAAAAAUUCCAAAAAAAUUCACACUAGUAUUUUCAUAUGUUGUUUGCACCCUGCUAAAGAGGCACGUCCAUAAACAAAUCAAAAAAAAGGGAGAUUUAGGGAAGAAAAACUAGGGCAUUUUGUUUUCGGAAAACCGAUUUUGUUCACUCUCGGUGUGGGUCUUACUACGCCCUAUUUCUUGGGUCUUUUGGUCUGAAAAUUUUACCAGACAAUCGUCAUUGUGUGUAUUGAGUUUUGGCUGAGAUUUGAACACCAGCUUCGUCCUACAAAAUUUUCAAUAAAUUUUUUAUUCAUCACUGCCAGUGUUUAAUGAAAAGUUCGUUUGUGUGUGAAACUGUUUGAUUUUUUUUACUGGUUGAAUACUGAUCAACUUAUAGUUAUCCAACCUUCUAUAAAAGUUAUUUUUUGCAUAUUAUUAAAUAGAUUGUAACGUCAAAAUAUUGAUAAGGAAACAUAUAAUUGAUAUAUUAAAAUUUAGUCGCGCAUAUUUAUAUUUUAUAAAAGAUAUUAAAUAAUUAUGCAAAUAUUUAUAUAUAUAUAUAAUGAGUCUUUGAGAAAUAAUUGGUUAUAAGAUUUUAUAACUUUAUAAGAUUAAACUAUAUACGUAUUUCUAUAUACCCACACAUCAAAAUGUAUUUCCUGCAAAACAGUCUUAAAAUAUAUCUCUUCAGUGAUAUCAUACUAAAUAAAAUGUUUCUUAAUUACUUUAUGCAUUUUUAUAAGUACAUUUGUAUGUAUUGAAAAAUUUUCUUGUUCUGAAACAAUACCAAAGUUUUUAGUAAAACAAAAUGCAAGCUAGUCUGAUAGAAAUUACUUGAGGUGCAUUAAUAUAGUUUAUUACAUAUUCAAACACCGUGUUAGUGGAAACCUUGUCAAAGACGAAGGAAACUUGAUGCUAACUAAAAUGUCUAAACGCCAUUAAAGAUGUUUUUAUUUAAUUUCCUCUGAAAAAACACACACAUGAGACAGAAAGAAGCAUUUAGAGGCCUUCAAUGAAGUUGACACCGGUGUUCUUCAACCAAACAUUUCCUUGGAUGAGCUGUGUUACAGUGAACUUGCUGGCUUCUGCUGCAGUUUUGAUUACAUGAUAACCAGGCCAAGUCACUCUCUUGCUCGUUCCAGCACCAGCUCCACUGUUCAUGUACUCUCCAUAAUACAACGUUUGCAAAAAGUCCUUACUCUGAGCAUCCCACUCUGCCCAUCCCGUUGGAUCAACAUGGUUAUCUAUUGUCGACUGCAUCACCACAGUUCUGGAGUACUUCUUCCAUGGUCGACCCAGAAAAGUUUUGAUGGAACCCACAACAGGCUUAAGAUCUGAGCUGGGUGUUAGGUUACACUGUUGAAUUGAAGUUCCUGUGUUUUGGUUUGGAUCUUCUCUUCCUUGAGCCGUCACCAUGUUUUUUUGGUUACUCAUGGGCUUUCGGGCCACCAAGUUGCACUUCUGGAAGACGACGGCGGCGUUUCCGAAAAUGAAGUCAACGGUGCCGGUGAUGAAAGAGUCUCUGUAGAACUGCCUGUUGGAGUGUGCGUAGAGAGUGUCUUGAAAGGCAUCUAUGCGACAACGGUUUAUCACGGAUUGGUCGGCGCCUACGCGCAGAGCCACCGCUUGGUGUUUCUCCGGUCCCGCCGUGUUCUGAAACCAUAU